rnacentral:rRNA from 1 species
GGUUAAGUCUCAUCAUUUAGGAUAUGCUUUGCCAGUCUUGUCCGAUCUCAGAAGCUAAGCUGAGUUGAGCCUCAUUAGUGCUUGAAUGAGAGACCACCUGGAAACAGCAGGGAUUGUAGGCU